rnacentral:rRNA from 1 species
UAGGGAAUCUUCGGCAAUGGACGAAAGUCUGACCGAGCAACGCCGCGUGAGUGAAGAAGGUUUUCGGAUCGUAAAACUCUGUUGUUAGAGAAGAACAAGGACGUUAGUAACUGAACGUCCCCUGACGGUAUCUAACCAGAAAGCCACGGCUAACUACGUGCCAGCAGCCGCGGUAAUACGUAGGUGGCAAGCGUUGUCCGGAUUUAUUGGGCGUAAAGCGAGCGCAGGCGGUUUCUUAAGUCUGAUGUGAAAGCCCCCGGCUCAACCGGGGAGGGUCAUUGGAAACUGGGAGACUUGAGUGAAGAAGAGGAGAGUGGAAUUCCGUGUGUAGCGGUGAAAUGCGUAGAUAUAUGGAGGAACACCAGUGGCGAAGGCGGCUCUCUGGUCUGUAACUGACGCUGAGGCUCGAAAGCGUGGGGAGCAAACAGG